rnacentral:tRNA from 1 species
UCCUUACUGGCUCAGAUGGUAAAGAAUCUGCCUGCAAAGCAGGAGACCUGGGUUUAAACCCUGGGUCAGGAA